CAAUAGCGUAUAUUUAAGUUGCUGCAGUUAAGAAGCUCGUAGUUGGAUUUCGGGUGGGAAUGGCCGGUCCGCCGUUUCGGUGUGCACUUGCUACGCCCACCUUGCUGCCGGGGACGUGCCCUUGAGUUCACGCUCGGGACACGGAGUCGGCGAGGUUACUUUGAGUAAAUUAGAGUGUUCAAAGCAGGCCUACGCUCUGAAUACAUUAGCAUGGAAUAACACGAUAGGACUCUGGCCUAUCUUGUUGGUCUGUAGGACCGGAGUAAUGAUUAAGAGGGACAGUCGGGGGCAUUCGUAUUUCAUUGUCAGAGGUGAAAUUCUUGGAUUCAUGAAAGACGAACUACUGCGAAAGCAUUUGCCAAGGAUGUUUUCAUUAA
rnacentral:rRNA from 1 species